ACAUCCACAGCUUUGUAUGCGUGUGUGCGGCAAGUCUCUAAGGCUGAAAUGUAAUGAUCGUUUCAAGGGCCUUCCAAAAUACUUAAGGCACUGUAUGGAAGAAGAGUGCAGAAAGCUUGGCAGAUGGAACCAGGACAGUAUGCCACGUUCACCUAAAGCACGACAUGCAUGAAGAUGGACUUGGGACAAACAGUAGCCAGAGGAGUGAACAAGGUCAGUAGAGAAGAAGAACAGAAAGGCAGAAACUGCAAGAUUUUCUUCAGAUGACACAGAAUAAUUAGAUUUUCUUGCAGAAGGCAGUACCAGUGAAGGACAUACCCAAACUCUCAGAAAGUGGAUCUUUGGGUAAAAUGAGACUUCUGUGAUGAUGGUAAAAGAAAACAUUCUACCCAAGGAAAAAGAAUCUGCAGCUAUUUGCAAAUCAAAUACUGGAUAUCAGCUUAUACCAGGAGGGACAGCAUCCUGCCUCUGGAGCCUUCUCACAGAGUGACAGGCAAAGAGGAGAAAAGAGCAGUUUGGAAAAGGAAAGAUGGUCCUUGUCUCUGCUUCCCCACCUCGAAUGGACAGGAGGAGUGUCCACCCAUCACGGGUCACCCAUCCUCCUUGGCUCAAUGGCGCAGAUGAGGAAGAUGCAGUGGGUGCCCACAGAGCUCGCAGUCAGGUGGGCUGCCAAGCAGAUGCGAGAUGAACACAACAUUACGACUGUGCUUUCAGAUCCAUCCAUGUUUGAGUCAAGAGGAUCUGCUGGAGGCAAAACAAUAGAGCACAAGGUGUGGGAGAGAACUGAAGAAUGAACACAUCUAUAUUGGUAUGACAUGCAGGGCAUUUCAAGGGUCUCAAUGCUGUUAACCUAUUUGAGAUAAGUGUCACAAGCUGUUAAAACCAUGGUAACCUCUGUAAGACCCAGACAUUUUUACCUGAAAAUACACUUCAAGUGACACAGAGCUGAGCUCCUAUUACCUUGCAGCUGACACAUCCUCAUUCACUGCCUUACUGGGUUAGACUUUAAGUGCAAAUGGGCAAGCUAGACUACAGAGUAGUAGAAUGUUUUGUGUUGGAAGGGACCUUUACAGGUCAUCUAAUCCAACCCUCCUGCAGUGAGCCGGGACACCUUCCACUACAUCAGGUUGCCCAGAGCCUGAUCCAGCUUGGCCUUCAACACCUCCAGGGAUGGUACCUCCACUACCUCCCUCAGCAAGCUGUUCCAGAUUUUUACCACCCUCAUUGUAAAAACACUCUUCCUUAUAUCCAAUCUAAAUCUACCCUCCCUUAGUUUAAAACCAUUACUCCUUGUCCUGUCAUAACAAACCCUGCUAAAAAGUCUGUCCCCAGCUUUCCUGUAGCCCCCUUUCAGUAGUGGAAGACUAUGAGGUCUCCCCAGAGCCUUCUCUUCUCCAGGCUGAACAACCCCAACUCUCUCAAGUCUGUUCUUGUAGGAGAGGUGCUCCAGCCCUUGUAUCAUUUUUGUGCCCCUUCUCUAGACUCGCUCCAACAGCUCCAUGUCUUUCCUGUGCUGAGGACUCAAGAGGUGGGUGUAGCACUUCAGGUGAGGUCUCAUGACAGCAGAGUGGAGGGGGACAAUCACUGCCUCGACCUGCUGGUCACAUUUCUUUUGAUGUAGCCCAGGAUACAGUUGGCCUUCUGGGCUACAAGAACACAUUGUUGGCUGCUGCCCAGCUUUUUGUCCAUCAGUAUCCCAGUCAGUCUCUAAAUGGAGCAUGGCUUGAAUUUGGUUAGAAGGGCCUGGAUAUGGCUGGCUUGGCGUGAGUUAUGCUGGCUUUGGUCCAACUGAGCUACAUUUACAUGGACUGAGUGCAAUUUGAAUGCAGGUUUGAGAUGGCAGCUUGUGAUAGGCAUGUUCUGGGCAGGUUAGACUUUACUGCGUUACCUGCCUUAGACUGUGUUGAAUUUGGAGCUGAAAGUGAGGCUGGUUUGGACCAAGUUACUCUCUACAGUGGGUGGGAGUGCAGUGGUUGGAAGGGUUUGCCUGGAUAUACUGCUGCUGAAAUGGGGCCAGUGACUUCACUAUGGCUGGUUUAAAAGACUCGUCUUACUUAUGCCAGAACUGUCACCCUGUAUGGGAAGUUUUUUGCUGGACCAGCUUUCCGUGGAUAGGAAAAAGGCUGUUCAGCAAGUGCUGAAACAGGAUCCCCAAAAGACUGACAAAAAUCUUUAGUUCCUCGAUGUCUUUAGUUCUAGCUGCCUCAAGCCAUCUCCUUCUUCCCCUGCCUGGGAGUGGUUCAUGCCAGAACAUCUGCAUCUUCUUCGCGAUCUGGUCCACCAAGUCAAAUGUGUUCCAUCACUCAGCAUCCUAGCCUUAAGAAGGAAAAUCCUGUUUGAGAAAUUCCCCAUCCAGGGGUGGUCAGCGGUGUUUGAAGUGAGGAAAUCCUUGCACAUGAUUUCUUUUUUAAUUACUAGGUUUCCUAGAUAGCACAGAAUUUCGUGCAGUUUAAUACGGUGUGUGCAUCGCCUCAGUGUUACUUGUCAAGGGGAUAAAUACUUGGACACAGGAUUAAGCCUCAAAUAAAGGAAAAUUCAAACUGUUUCCAAAUAAAUGAUGU